GAGAAUGAGGUCUGAGAGGGAAAGUGGAAUUGAUUUCAUGCUUAGCAAAAUGAGGGUUUAAGCAGAGAAACUUUGUGGUGAGGUUACAGAAUUGGAAGGAUCUUUGCCUGGGCAACUGUGAGAUUGGCAGUUUUUCAUGCAGCCAACCAAGACAUUGGGUUGGCAUCAUCUCAAAGGGCUAGUCGAUAUCUGUUUUUGUAAAGAAAUCUACAGGACUUGAGGCUUGGUCUUCUGAUAUUGAAUUGUGGUUGGAGGCAGGGGUAGUUUGGCAAACUGUCAGUGUAGAAUAGGAAAGCCAGGUAGAGACUGGGGAGGGCAUCCAUCGGUGGACCCUGACUGGAUGUGAGAAGACCCUUGACCAGAGGUGAUGAAGGCAGCAUCAGAGGACUCCAUGUUGGACACCACAACCUGGAGAAGUCCCGUCAUGGAUCGCUGUAAUGAGGACCUUGCCCAAGGACCCUUCUACGAUGACUCCUUUGCCACGGGAUGUCUUCAGGUGUUGGACCUGAAGGACCGGAGCCUACCAAAAUAUACACAUGCCUCAAUGGCUGCUCCGCCUCUCUGCCCAAUAGGACAUGGACAUAGAUCCAGUUUUAUUUAAACAAAAUGGACUUUACCACCUAAAGCCAGGGACUUUCUUCAACCCAGAACCCCCUGCCCCCACUGACCCACCCCCACACAUCACAAAACUGUAUGUGCACAUGAAUCAGCACAACACUAAAAUUAUAUUAUUACAUAUUUUCUUUUUUUUCAUGGUUCUGUGAUGAAUGUUAUUUUGACAAGUAGUUUUUUUGAAAUUCUUUAAUUGCAUUAACGUCAAUAUUUUAGAUUUUUCACCAGAUCUAGUUGUGUCAAGACCCUUUUAAUACGAGAUUGUAUUAUGACUAGUUAAUGGUGGAAAAAAUGUCACUUUUGAACUCUGAAUGCGAACUUGAUUGUGCAUAGAGAUUAAGGACAGAAGUUGUGUUGACUCAGUUUAUCUGCUUGCAUGUGAAUCAAACAAUCACAUAUAGUUAAAUGCAAACCACUUUAGCAGCUAAGUGUUGGACAAACGUGUGGUGUUAUCCUACAGUGAAACUAAAUUAAAGGCAUUUAAAUGGUUAAGUCUGGGUUACCAUUGAGAAAAGUUUUGGUAAACAUCAGAAACCUUCAGCUAAGGCAGAUUACUAUGACCAGUUAAUGCAUUUCUAGAUAACUGUAAAUGUGUAACAUGUUUUUUUGUUUUGUUCUUUUCUUGUUGCUGUCGCCAGUCGUUGUGCUGCUGCUCACAAUGUCCCUCUGCUGGUGAACGCCAGAGGAAUGAAAUAAAAGAUUGCCAGAAGCUCAUCAUGUCUCAUGUUAUAGUUGGAGCUGGGGGCGGCUGGACUCGGCUGCAAAGCCACUGCAAGAUGCAGGACAGCAGGUACAGUACAUACUGCAGACAGUUGUCAAUGUUUUUGGAGCUAGGGCAAGUAGAGGGUGUCAAACUUCACUUACCAUUGGGUGGCAGCACCUCCCAAUUUACUGAAACCAAAUUGAGGUUCAUAAUCCGAGGUUGAUUUACUCAGGAACCAUGUCCACAUUUAAAGGAAGUGGAUUUAGUUUUCCACUAAGCUCGGAGACCAGGGGCCAAAAAGAGUUCCGUUUGAUUAAAAGUUUCUUGAUUUAUAAUGUCAGUAAACCGCUUCCUGAGGAGUUAAUGCUCUCAAUUGCGCGUUUCAAUAUUGUACAUUUUUCUACUCAAAGUAAAAUAGAUGAUAAAGUGAGACGGAUGAGUGGACACAGUAUGAUUGACAGCCAGUAUCGUUCAGGUGUUUAUAUCUGAUAAACAUAAAUUCAUAAUUUACAUUGGGUCAUAAAGAUAUGUUCAGUUAUAGAAAUAUCCUUGGGUUAGAUGUUGUCAGCAGUCUCUGAUAUUAUACAAAUACAAUUGUUAUAGAGUUAAGGAAAUCUAAAUAAGAACAUUAGUGUCUUAAAAUAAUUUUGCCAAGCAGUCAUGCAUAAAACACUUGACGAAGUGGUUUCUUGAAAGCAACAUCCUUGAUAUGAUCUAUUGCAAAGUGUUUCUAGUGUGAAAGUACAGUCGGAGCUACAAAGAUGUGAUGAUCAGAAAUGCCUCGCACCAGAAACCACAAGAUGUCUGACUCAAACUGCAGAAGAAGCUCCACUGUUUUAUUUCACACCUGAGGUCUAGAAACCACUCGGUGGAAAAACCCAACCGUCAUUCAUACAAACAACUCCUUGAAAAAUGUCACACCUUUUCUUAACAGCUAAACAAAAAGUUGCAGUUUACUUGUGAUAUCGCUUAAGGCAAAGCUUAAAGGAUAAACUAAUUGUCUGCAUCGUCUUUUUCCUCAUUAAAUACAGUAAAAUGAUGGUAAACAUAUUUACAGUUUAGGCUGUGCAGAGGAGCAUUCCUUCAAACGUUACAACACUAAAUACUGUCGACUGCUGCGUCCUUUAAUGGCGAACACCAAAUAUCUAC